UGGCUGGUCUGAAAUGCAUGAGUGCACCCUGCUGUAGCAGCGUCUUCAGUGUGAUAAGUAUCUUCACUGAUUCAAGCUCCCCUGUGGGACACGCUUGUCUGGUGGGCUCUGUGCUUCUAACUGUCCGCAUGGACAAUUCUUGACAAUUUGACCUCAAAUCGGGUGGGACUACCCGCUGAACUUAAGCAUAUCAAUAAGCGGAGGAAAAGAAACUAACAAGGAUUCCCCUAGUAACGGCGAGUGAAGAGGGAAAAGCUCAAAUUUUGAAUCUGGUACCUUUGGUGCCCGAGUUGUAAUCUAGAGAAGUGUUUUCUGCCUCGGACCACGCAUAAAUUCCCUGGAAUGGGGUGUCAUAGAGGGUGAGAAUCCCGUUUGUGGUGUGGACUACCUUGGCUUUGUGAUACACUC
rnacentral:rRNA from 1 species